UAACGCGAAGAACCUUACCUGGUCUUGACAUCCUGGGAGCCCUGCAGAGAUGUGGGGGUGCCUUCGGGAACCCAGAGACAGGUGCUGCAUGGCUGUCGUCAGCUCGUGUCGUGAGAUGUUGGGUUAAGUCCCGCAACGAGCGCAACCCUUGCCCUUAGUUGCCAGCAUUCAGUUGGGAACUCUAAGGGGACCGCCGGUGACAAACCGGAGGAAGGUGGGGAUGCCGUCAAGUCAUCAUGGCCCUUAUGACCAGGGCUACACACGUGCUACAAUGGCCGGUACAAAGGGUCGCCAACCCGCGAGGGGGAGCCAAUCCCAGAAAGCCGGUCGUAGUCCGGAUCGCAGUCUGCAACUCGACUGCGUGAAGUCGGAAUCGCUAGUAAUCGUGAAU
rnacentral:rRNA from 1 species